rnacentral:rRNA from 1 species
AUUGAACGCUGGCGGCAUGCCUUACACAUGCAAGUCGAACGGCAGCACGGGAGCAAUCCUGGUGGCGAGUGGCGAACGGGUGAGUAAAGUAUCGGAACGUGCCCAGUCGGGGGGGAUAACGUAGCGACAGUUACGCUAAUACCGCAUACGAUCUAUGGAUGAAAGCGGGGGAUCGCAAGACCUCGCGCGAUUGGAGCGGCCGAUAUCAGAUUAGGUAGUUGGUGGGGUAAAGGCUCACCAAGCCGACGAUCUGUAGCUGGUCUGAGAGGACGACCAGCCACACUGGGACUGAGACACGGCCCAGACUCCUACGGGAGGCAGCAGUGGGGAAUUUUGGACAAUGGGCGAAAGCCUGAUCCAGCCAUGCCGCGUGCAGGAUGAAGGCCUUCGGGUUGUAAACUGCUUUUGUACGGAACGAAAAGGUUUGGCCUAAUAAGCUGAGCUCAUGACGGUACCGUAAGAAUAAGCACCGGCUAACUACGUGCCAGCAGCCGCCGUAA